GAUGAACGCUGGCGGCGUGCCUAAUACAUGCAAGUCGAGCGAACAGACGAGGAGCUUGCUCCUUUGACGUUAGCGGCGGACGGGUGAGUAACACGUGGGUAACCUACCUAUAAGACUGGGAUAACUUCGGGAAACCGGAGCUAAUACCGGAUAAUAUUUCGAACUGCAUGGUUCGAUAGUGAAAGAUGGCUUUGCUAUCACUUAUAGAUGGACCUGCGCCGUAUUAGCUAGUUGGUAAGGUAACGGCUUACCAAGGCAACGAUACGUAGCCGACCUGAGAGGGUGAUCGGCCACACUGGAACUGAGACACGGUCCAGACUCCUACGGGAGGCAGCAGUAGGGAAUCUUCCGCAAUGGGCGAAAGCCUGACGGAGCAACGCCGCGUGAGUGAUGAAGGUCUUCGGAUCGUAAAACUCUGUUAUUAGGGAAGAACAAACGUGUAAGUAACUGUGCACGUCUUGACGGUACCUAAUCAGAAAGCCACGGCUAACUACGUGCCAGCAGCCGCGGUAAU
rnacentral:rRNA from 1 species